UGAGCCGACCGGGUAAUCGCGGCACCCCGAACUAGCUGCAGCAAUGUGGUACAAGCGGGGGUCGAGGAAAGUCCGGACUCCACAGGGCACGGUGGUUGCUAACGGCAACCCGGAGCGAUCUGCGGGAAAGUGCAACAGAAAGUAGACCGCCCAGCAUGUACUGGGUAAGGGUGAAAGGGUGCGGUAAGAGCGCACCGGCAUGCGUGGUGACACGUGUGGCCAGGUAAACCCCACCGGGAGCAAGGCAUUACGCUGCGCCACUGGCGUGGUGGUUCGGAUGGUGAGGCUGCCCGCUGAGUCCGAAGGUAGCUGCUUGAGGCCACCAGCGAUGGCUGGUCCAGAUGGAUGAUUACCGCCCGCGCUUACGGGUGUGGGGACAGAAUCCGGCUUAUAGGUCGGCUCAUUCG
rnacentral:RNase_P_RNA from 1 species